rnacentral:lncRNA from 1 species
UGCUAUCGCCUCGGAGGAAAAGAAUAGGAAACAUAAGGAAGCCAAGAAGAAGGCUGCUUCCUCUUCUUUCUCUGGUCGCGGUCAAAAGCGCCAGAGAAUCAUUUAUCAUCCACAGGGCCACGGACGUUUCCAAGCGCCGUCACCUUAUCGUGGUCCUUUCUCCCCUCCACAGUACAGACCCGGGCAGCAGGUAUACUCUCGACCUACUGCCAUCGCUUUUGCACCACGCCAGCCGAACGCCCCGGGUGUUCGCC